CGUUAUAAUCUGGAGGCUGCUUUAAUACAGUUACACCAUCAGGCUGAGAUUUAUUGGCGUCAACGGGGUACUCUAAACUGGACUCUAAAAGGCGACUCCCCUACGGCGUAUUUCUUUGCGAUCGCGAACGGCAGGCGUAGACGAUGUGGUAUUAAUAGCCUGCUCAUUAAUGGUGUGCGAUCUUCGGAGCAGUCUGUUAUUAUGGCUCAUGUGGUGGAUUUCUUCUCUUCGUUGUUGGGGGCUAAACCUCCAUCGGGCUUCUCCAUUUCUCCCUCCCUUUGGAACUUAGGUCUUAAAAUCUCACCCGAGGAGAAUGCCUCUUUGAUGAUCCCUCUUUCUGAUCAGGAAAUUUGGGAUGUUGUUAACACUGCCAAUCCUAAUGCUGCUUCUGGGCCAGACGGCUUCUCUAUUCCUUUCUUUCGAAAAUUCUGGCCCCAGUUGAAACAGCUGGUUUGUAAUGUUAUCCAGGGCUUCUGUCUUGGUACUGUCGAUAUCUCCCGCCUGAACUAUGCAGUGAUAACCCUGAUCCCCAAGGUUAAGGGUGCUGAUGUU
rnacentral:rRNA from 1 species